rnacentral:rRNA from 1 species
UACGUAGGGUCCGAGCGUUGUCCGGAAUUAUUGGGCGUAAAGAGCUUGUAGGCGGUUUGUCGCGUCUGCCGUGAAAAUUCGAGGCUCAACCUCGAACUUGCGGUGGGUACGGGCAGACUAGAGUGUGGUAGGGGAGACUGGAAUUCCUGGUGUAGCGGUGAAAUGCGCAGAUAUCAGGAGGAACACCGGUGGCGAAGGCGGGAUCUCUGGGCCUUACCUGACGCUGAGGCGCGAAAGCUAGGGGGAGCAAACAGG